CGCAAGCCUGACGGAGCAAGACCGCGUGCGGGAUGACGGCCUAAUGGUUGUAAACCGCUUUUCUCUGGGAAGAAUGAUGACGGUACCAGAGGAAUCAGCCUCGGCUAACUCCGUGCCAGCAGCCGCGGUAAUACGGAGGAGGCAAGCGUUAUCCGGAAUUAUUGGGCGUAAAGCGUCCGUAGGUGGUGAAUCAAGUCUGCUGCCAAAGCGUGGGGCUUAACUCCGGUAGAGCAGUGGAAACUGGUGUGCUAGAGGGCGACAGGGGUAGAGGGAAUUCCCAGUGUAGCGGUGAAAUGCGUAGAGAUUGGGAAGAACACCGGUGGCGAAAGCGCUCUACUGGGUCGCACCUGACCCUCAGGGACGAAAGCUAAGGUAGCG
rnacentral:rRNA from 1 species